rnacentral:rRNA from 1 species
UACGGGGGGGGUAAGCGUUGUUCGGAAUUACUGGGCGUAAAGGGCUCGUAGGCGGCCAACUAAGUCAGACGUGAAAUCCCUCAGCUUAACUGGGGAACUGCGUCUGAUACUGGAUGGCUUGGAUUCGGGAGAGGAAUGCGGAAUUCCAGGUGUAGCGGUGAAAUGCGUAGAUAUCUGGAGGAACACCGGUGGCGAAGGCGGCAUUCUGGACCGAUAUUGACGCUGAGAAGCGAAAGCCAGGGGAGCAAACGGG